rnacentral:rRNA from 1 species
UACGUAGGUGACAAGCGUUGUCCGGAUUUACUGGGCGUAAAGAGCGCGCAGGCGGUCGAUCAAGUCGCGUGUGAAAGCCCCCGGCUCAACUGGGGAGGGUCACGCGAUACUGAUCGACUCGAAGGCAGGAGAGGGUAGUGGAAUUCCCGGUGUAGUGGUGAAAUGCGUAGAUAUCGGGAGGAACACCAGUGGCGAAGGCGACUACCUGGCCCACUCUUGGACGCUGACGGCGCGAAAGCUAGGGGAGCAA